rfam:Equus caballus chromosome 22, whole genome shotgun sequence.
UGACCCCCACGGCACCAGCCAGCCUCGUGGCGUCCCAGGCCUGGCCGCCAUACGCCCGCCCACCAACCGCUUCCAACCACCCCAGCAACACAAUCUCUUAGGGCUUUCCAACGCGGCGCCCCCUA